rnacentral:rRNA from 1 species
AUUGAACGCUGGCGGCAUGCUUUACACAUGCAAGUCGAGCGGUAACAGGCCUUCGGGUGCUGACGAGUGGCGAACGGGUGAGUAAUGCAUCGGAACGUACCCAGAGGUGGGGGAUAACGCAGCGAAAGCUGUGCUAAUACCGCAUGUGAUCUGAGGAUGAAAGCGGGGGACCGCGCAGCAAUGUUUGGCCUCGCGCCUUUGGAGCGGCCGAUGUCGGAUUAGCUAGUUGGUGGGGUAAAGGCCUACCAAGGCGACGAUCCAUAGCUGGUCUGAGAGGACGACCAGCCACACUGGGACUGAGACACGGCCCAGACUCCUACGGGAGGCAGCAGUGGGGAAUUUUGGACAAUGGGCGCAAGCCUGAUCCAGCAAUGCCGCGUGCGGGAAGAAGGCCUUCGGGUUGUAAACCGCUUUUAGCAGGAACGAAACGGUGUCCGCUAAUACCGGGCGCUAAUGACGGUACCUGCAGAAUAAGCACCGGCUAACUACGUG